UACGGGGGGGGCAAGCGUUGUUCGGAAUUACUGGGCGUAAAGGGCGCGUAGGCGGCCAUCUAAGUCAGACGUGAAAUCCCCCGGCUUAACCUGGGAACUGCGUCUGAUACUGGAAGGCUUGAGCAUGGGAGAGGGAUGUAGAAUUCCAGGUGUAGCGGUGAAAUGCGUAGAUAUCUGGAGGAAUACCGGUGGCGAAGGCGGCAUCCUGGACCAUUACUGACGCUGAGGCGCGAAAGCUAGGGGAGCAAACGGG
rnacentral:rRNA from 1 species